rnacentral:rRNA from 1 species
GAGACCCGAACGGACGAUCGCGAACCCGUCAACGCUCCAGCGGGGGCGGAGGGAGGGCGGGCAUCUAAACCGCCCGACCCCGCCSCCCCGGAGCCCCAURGCCGCCCCCGCCCCGCCUCGCUGCGGGACGGGCGGCGGGAACAAUACCCGGCGCGAUGGGCGCCAAGGAACAGUGCAGUCGGAGAGCGCCGCAYGCCGGUUCCGGCAYGCGGUGUGAUCCUUCCAUAAAUCUAACUUUUACGACUCUCGGCAACGGAUAUCUUGGCUCUCGCAUCGAUGAAGAACGUAGCGAAAUGCGAUACUUGGUGUGAAUUGCAGAAUCCCGUGAACCAUCGAGUCUUUGAACGCAAGUUGCGCCCGAGGCUAUCCGGCCGAGGGCACGCCUGCCUGGGCGUCACGCCUCACGUCGCUCCGCACACCCUGCCCCUCCCCCGAGCCGGGGAGACGGUGGAUGCGGAUGCGGAGAUUGGCCCCCCGUGCCUUGCGGUGCGGCGGGUCGAAGUGCGGGUCGCCGGCCGGGACGGACGCGGCGAGUGGUGGACGGACACGUACGGCGCUGAACGUCGCCUCCGCUCGCGGCCCCAGCGAACCAUGCAAGGAACCC